UGUUCUCUCAGUAAUAUAAAGCUAAAUAUCUGAGUACCCAGAGGACGAGUGCCUUGGAGAAUAAGUUUUCUUUAUUUUAAGGCGCAAUUUGGGCAUUUCCUAUGCAGCCACGGCGAUCUAUUAGAUUUGCGCGUUGGCCCUUGUAAUAAAUUCGGGAGAAGAUCGCGAUCUGGAAAUUCGUUUGUCAGUCCUGUAAAGAAGCAAAAGAGACCAGCCUUCCUACCCUCGGCUGCGAGAUAGAAAAUAGCAUGGAAUACCACAGAUCAGCAAAAACAGACUGAAGCCGCCAAUCACUGAAGCAGUUCACCGGGCAACCCUCCCGCAAAUUACCCAGAACCAGAGAGCCAUCAGUAAUAAAAGUAACAAAAAUAUUUUUUUUCACAAAAAAAUCUCAAUUGAACUAGGCAAUCCGACCAAUCUCCACAAAUGUCAGCUGUCUUAUAGUAAGGCUAUCAUCUCAAAGAUAAGCAAGAAUCGCAA